rnacentral:rRNA from 1 species
UUUUAAUGAGAGUUUGAUCCUGGCUCAGGACGAACGCUGGCGGCGUGCCUAAUACAUGCAAGUAGAACGCUGAUGUUUGGUGUUUACACUAGACUGAUGAGUUGCGAACGGGUGAGUAACGC